AGUGAACGCUGGCGGUAGGCCUAACACAUGCCAGUCGAACGGCAGCACAGUAAGAGCUUGCUCUUACGGGUGGCGAGUGGCGGACGAGUGAGGAAUACAUCGGAAUCUACUUUUUCGUGGGGGAUAACGUAGGGAAACUUACGCUAAUACCGCAUACGACCUACGGGUGAAAGCAGGGGAUCUUCGGACCUUGCGCGAUUGAAUGAGCCGAUGUCGGAUUAGCUAGUUGGCGGGGUAAAGGCCCACCAAGGCGACGAUCCGUGGCUGGUCUGAGAGGAUGGUCAGCCACACUGGAACUGAGACACGGUCCAGACUCCUACGGGAGGCAGCAGUGGGGAAUAUUGGACAAUGGGCGCAAGCCUGAUCCAGCCAUACCGCGUGGGUGAAGAAGGCCUUCGGGUUGUAAAGCCCUUUUGUUGGGAAAGAAAAGCAGCAGGUUAAUACCCCGCUGUUCUGACGGUACCCAAAGAAUAAGCACCGGCUAACUUCGUG
rnacentral:rRNA from 1 species